rnacentral:lncRNA from 1 species
AGAAAAGUGGGUCCAUACGUGCCCUGCGCGGACUCCGACGCCCAAAGACACGCGCGCGCUGCGAUAAGCAAGUUACAAGGAUUCCACCCUCCAGUGCUCUCUACAACCUGGGGCUGAGGACGCUGAAGCCAAACUAAUUUUGCAAAUACACCUGCAUCCGGAGCAUGGCUGAAAGAUUAUCUCCAGAAGGACGGGAAUCUUAUAAAAAGACAGCCACCAAAGGAAACUAUACUACCACAGAGGAGCUGUUGGUGGUUCCUGCCUUGUGAGCUUUCCUUCUGCUGCACAAGGGAAUGUCAACAGGCUCAAUCAGAGGGUGUCAUGUGACCAGCUCACCAUGCUCCUGCCUCCGUUCCUUCUGGGCCAUAGUGGACUGCAUCCUUAAAUUGUGAGCCAAAAGAAACGAAUGCUUCCUGUCUUUAGCUGCCUUCCUUUUCCUUUCUUUUCUUUUGACACUAUCUCGCUGCAUAGCCCUGGCUGGACUGUAAGUCACUAUGUAGAACAGGUUGUGCUAGAACUUACAGAGAUUCACCUGCCCCUGGCUCCUGAGUGCUGAGGUUGAAUUUGUGUGCCACCGUAUCUGUCCCUGUAGUGGGUUUGGUCAUGUGUUUUGUCACAGCAAAAAUAAAAACAGUUCCUAUGAUUAUUAUCGCAUUUCAAGAUUAGGAAUAAAAGCCUCACUGCCACUUCCUUAA